rnacentral:rRNA from 1 species
GGGCAGGGGGGGGGCGUGCUUACCAUGCAGUCGAGCGGUAAGGCCCCUUCGGGGGUACACGAGCGGCGAACGGGUGAGUAACACGUGAGCAACCUGCCCCUGACUCUGGGAUAAGCCGUGGAAACGCGGUCUAAUACCGGAUACGACGUCCUGCCGCAUGGUGGGGUGUGGAAAGUUGUGUCGGUUGGGGAUGGGCUCGCGGCCUAUCAGCUUGUUGGUGGGGUGAUGGCCUACCAAGGCGAUUACGGGUAGCCGGCCUGAGAGGGCGACCGGCCACACUGGGACUGAGACACGGCCCAGACUCCUGCGGGAGGCAGCAGUGGGGAAUCUUGCGCAAUGGGCGGAAGCCUGACGCAGCGACGCCGCGUGGGGGAUGACGGCCUUCGGGUUGUAAACCUCUUUUACCACUCACGCAGGCCCCGGGUGUUCUCGGGGUUGACGGUAGGUGGGGAAUAAGGACCGGCUAACUACGUGCCAGCAGCCGCGGUAAUACGUAGGGUCCGAGCGUUGUCCGGAAUUAUUGGGCGUAAAGAGCUCGUAGGCGGUGUGUCGCGUCUGCUGUGAAAGGCUGGGGCUUAACCCUGGUUUUGCAGUGGAUACGGGCAUGCUAGAGGUAGGUAGGGGAGACUGGAAUUCCUGGUGUAGCGGUGAAAUGCGCAGAUAUCAGGAGGAACACCGGUGGCGAAGGCGGGUCUCUGGGCCUUACCUGACGCUGAGGAGCGAAAGCGUGGGGAGCGAACAGGAUUAGAUACCCUGGUAGUCCACGCCGUAAACGUUGGGCGCUAGGUGUGGGGGCUUUCCACGGUUCCCGUGCCGUAGCUAACGCAUUAAGCGCCCCGCCUGGGGAGUACGGCCGCAAGGCUAAAACUCAAAGGAAUUGACGGGGGCCCGCACAAGCGGCGGAGCAUGUUGCUUAAUUCGACGCAACGCGAAGAACCUUACCAAGGUUUGACAUCACCGGUAAUCCAUCGGAGACGGUGGGUCCUUUUGGGAUCGGUGA